AUAUUUCUAGCGGUCAAGCAAAUCCUUCCAACGCAAUUGAGAAGACUAUUAAACCUAGUGCUCAGACAUGUGUAAAUCCUAAAUCUAUGCUUUCAAGCCUGGAGUCUAUGAGGAACACAAAGAUCAUUACAGCUGAAGGGAGUAAACUUUCUCCUGACAAACCUGCCCAGAAGAAAACCGACCUUUCUACCUUGAACAUUUCAAAGAAUAUUGGUGGCAGUAAAGUUUCAUGGAAUGCUUCCCUGAGGAGUCCACAGCAAAACAUGGAAGUGCAACGAAAUGUGGAAUCAAAGACUGCCCAGAUUGUUGAUCGCAGUGAGAAACAAAAGCCACCAAACUUUUCCUUGAAGCGAAAACAUUUGAGGGAUCUGCUUCAGGUUUAGCAUCCUUAAAGCCUCUAAAGCGCCUUUCAUAGUCACCUAAAGAAUCCAGGUCCUCUUUUGCUAGCAGAUAUGUGUUUAACUUAUUGUUCUGAAUCUUUUUCCAGCCUAUUACUAUUUACGUGUUCUAAAGUGGUUUACUGGAAAUCUGCUGACAUCUCACAUUCUUUUUCCAAUAAUACGUGCAGAAACUUCAAAGAACCUUCAAAAGAAGUGGUUGCAGAACAGGUUCUCAACUAACUCUAUAGUAUUAAUGAUUUAUAAUGACUGCUAAGUGUAUCUAUGAAGUGAAUUAUAGGUGGAAGCCUGUACUAGAUAAACUUACUAAAAUAUUCUUUACGUUUGCGCUAGGUUUGCAUUCAUGCGAGUGAUGUGGAGAGCAAGACUAACAGCACUUUUGAUGACCAUCGAACCUCUGAACUCGGUAGUCCUUGUGGGAUCAUUGUGAUGGAACUUGAUAUUCCUUCAGUAAUGGAAAAUGAUGGAAAUGUUGAAAAGGCUGAAGCGUACGCUACGGAGCUUGAAGAUAUAUGCAACGUGCUGAGAAAGAAACACGAGGAAGCCAAGGAAUUGCUAGUUAGAGCUAUUGUGAACAACAAUAAUCUACUGAUGCUUAACCAUCCCAUUUACGAAGCAAAGAUAUCCUUCAGACUGUUUUAGAUGUUAAUUUCCUGUUUUUCUGUCCACCGUUUUGAUCAUUGAGAUAAAGUUGCAUUUUCCUUAAUAAUU